CAACGACUUGUUUGCAGGUUAAAUGGAACAAGGGAAAUUGGCAAAAUAUUUCUGCAUUAUUUUCUAACCAGCUGUCAGCUUGGAGAUCACCUUUGCAACAUUAUCCCGCUUUUUCAGAAAAGACUUCCCUUCUUUAUACAAGACAGGCUGAUUUUAGGAGCAGAUCUAAGUCUGAAAGAGACAAGCUUUUGCCAGGAACGACAGUCAUCUAGUAGCUGCAGAAAGCAGCGUCAGCAGAACCUGUGGGAAGUCAGACACCAGCCCACUCUGUGCCACCCACCCAGACACUCUCCCUCUCUGGUCUGUACCUUCCGUGUGGCAGCUGGAAGAGAGGAUGGUGUUCGGAGGUCUGAAGAUGUAAGGCAGGUUCUCUCCCAGAUCUGCAAAGCUGGGGAGCCCGAGGAAUAACUGGAGAUGGGUCCCAUUUUGCCAUCAGAGCCAGGAAGCACUGCCUUACAUUUCUGCAUGCAGCUCAAACUCAGAAGCCCCCAAGCAAGCCGGGAUGUGGCCUCUUCAUUGGCUGCAGCUCCUCCGAGCAGGAUUUGCUGAUUACCCCAUUUUGCAGAGGAGAAAACCGGCUGGGAGGAUAUGAUAAUUUAUCCAAAGGAGAUGCUGUGUUUCUGGAAUCACCUGGUGCACCUUUGAAGAAUGCAGACCUAACAGCCCCCGAGCCAAUUGAUUCUGACUCUCUGGGAAUAACGAGAGGCUUCUUACUUUGAGUCUGAGAAUUUCUGGAGUUUAAUUCCGUGCUUUGCCUGGAUGAGUCAGGGUGAUGGAAACUUAUCCAAAUAUUCUAUCCUAAGUCACAUGUACCUUACCAUUUGUAUCCAACUCUCUGUGGCCACUCAGAUGACUUAAUCAGCACUAGGCAUGGGGAGGGGGACAUAGCAUGUAUGACAUCAUCCCUGUUCUAAAGGUGUACCUAUUCUUAAUAGCAGAAAGGAGGUCUGGAUUAAAAAGCCCUAAGGGUCAAUGUUAGAGACCUACA